UGUAUAAUGGGUCAGCGACUUAUAUUCUGUAGCAAGGUUAACCGAAUAGGGGAGCCGAAGGGAAACCGAGUCUUAACUGGGCGUUAAGUUGCAGGGUAUAGACCCGAAACCCGGUGAUCUAGCCAUGGGCAGGUUGAAGGUUGGGUAACACUAACUGGAGGACCGAACCGACUAAUGUUGAAAAAUUAGCGGAUGACUUGUGGCUGGGGGUGAAAGGCCAAUCAAACCGGGAGAUAGCUGGUUCUCCCCGAAAGCUAUUUAGGUAGCGCCUCGUGAAUUCAUCUCCGGGGGUAGAGCACUGUUUCGGCAAGGGGGUCAUCCCGACUUACCAACCCGAUGCAAACUGCGAAUACCGGAGAAUGUUAUCACGGGAGACACACGGCGGGUGCUAACGUCCGUCGUGAAGAGGGAAACAACCCAGACCGCCAGCUAAGGUCCCAAAGUCAUGGUUAAGUGGGAAACGAUGUGGGAAGGCCCAGACAGCCAGGAUGUUGGCUUAGAAGCAGCCAUCAUUUAAAGAAAGCGUAAUAGCUCACUGGUCGAGUCGGCCUGCGCGGAAGAUGUAACGGGGCUAAACCAUGCACCGAAGCUGCGGCAGCGACGCU
rnacentral:rRNA from 1 species